rnacentral:rRNA from 1 species
UGCCAGCCGCCGCGGUAAUACGGAGGGGGUUAGCGUUGUUCGGAAUUACUGGGCGUAAAGCGCGCGUAGGCGGACUAGUCAGUCAGAGGUGAAAUCCCAGGGCUCAACCCUGGAAGUGCAUUGGAAACUGGCGAACUUGAGUACGGGAGAGGAAAGUGGAAUUCCGAGUGUAGGGGUGAAAUCCGUAGAUAUUCGGAGGAACACCAGUGGCGAAGGCGGCUUUCUGGACCGAUACUGACGCUGAGACCCCAAAGCGUCGGGAGCAAACAGGAUUAGAUA